CUUAAUACAUACAUCUUGUGAUCAGACGUGCAUACAUGUUCAUUUUGCAACAUGUGUUCUCGAGUGCCUCGUGCGUUUUGUGCUGUGACCACUAAUCCGGAUGAACGUUCGCCAACAAAACCCAAAACCCGCCAGCUCAAGCAUCAAUUGUGAGAACAGAAUUAGACGCAGCACAAAUAUCAAAAGCUGCAGAUGCAGCAGAAGCUGCUGAAGCUGCAGAAGGGGCAAACGCAUUAACAGCAGCAAAAGCAGCAGCAGCAGAAAAAGCAGCAGAAGCUAUAGCAGCAGCAGCAGCAGCAGCAGUAGCAAAAGCAGCAGAAGCUAUAGCAGCAGCAGCAGCAGCAGCAGUAGCAAAAGCAGCAGAAGCAGCAGCAAAAGCAUCAGCAGUGUUGUGGGCAGCCGUGCCGACCCCUGGACUUGCCGUGGCAGUUGCGCUGCCACCGGUCAACGUCCAGGAGGACGACAGUGUGUCACACACACUGUCGCACACACUAAGCAGCGCAAGGCUUAGUGUGUGCCGAGCGCACAGUUAGAGUGUGUUUGCGAGCCGAUCGAGCAGGAGCUCUCGGCAGGGGCGCUCGGUGCGGCUGGUGUGCGGCCACCGUACUAUUAUAUUUUAGAGUGUAUUGUUUGUUUUCGUUUAUGUUUUAUUUAUUAUGUACUUUGUAUAAAGUGUCUAAAUAAAUACAAAAGAGCAGUUCAUAACAGUGGCGACGAGGAUGGGAUCCUCCUGCGUAAGGGGGAUCCAACAAGAACCCGCGGACGCCAUCGCGAUCGGGCCCAUCUCGUUUUUGCUGCAUCAUCGCAGCGGCCAUCGCGUUGGCACCGGUCCCCGUGCUUGCGGGACACCGCGAACGGUUUGGGUCGCCACCGCCGCCAACACCGAGACCCCCGGCUGCCGUCCCAUCAUUGGCGACCACAUGGGCAGCCGAGCACACACUCUCGGCGACAAGGAAGGUCGUCGGGCUGCAGCCCCAGCAACGCCAGCAGCACCAGAGGUGAGGCACCUUUCCGCCUUGCUGCUGGAACAUCGGAUGGGCGUCACAUCCGCCCAUGCUGCAGCCCCAGCUUCAUCGGGCGAGGACGCAUUCCGCCCAGCUGCAGCAGCAGCAGUGCAAGCAUCCUUCGGCGACGAGCAAUACCGCCCCGGCUCGAGCUCAGCACAUCAUCGGCGAGGCAGCAAUUCCGCCGCGGCUCGAGCCCUGCCUCUCACCACGGCGACGUACCAUUCCGCCUCGGCAGCACAACAGGAUCGGCAACGCACAAGUUGCAUCGGCUGCAACACAGCAGCACACAUCGGCGCGAACGCUUUCGCCCUGGCUGUAGUUGAACAGGCGUCGCCAAUUGCGCCUCGGCUACAGCCACAGUGUCCAGAGGGGACGAGGUAGCAUAUAAGAACUGUCAAAUUAAGAAAAUCUAAAGAAAAUUAAAUUAAGAUAAGCUAAAAAGCGCGAUUGCAAGGACUCGUGCGAGCUCGCAAACUGCUCGAAGUUGCUUGCGGGGUUUUAACACCAGUGUAAGCUGCACUUAACACCGAGUGUCAAAGCGCUGUAUACAACGACAACAAUACUGCUCUUGGCAUGGGAUUAGGAAAUUGGUUAUAAAAUAAGUUUAGUGCAACUUCUGAAAAUGAUGUGAGUCUUAAAACCUAUUCUCAUAUCACCAUAAGGUGUGUGCAAAGUUUCGUUGAAAAUAAUCCAGCCGUUUCGGAGCUUGCUCGCAACAAACACCGUGACACGAGAUUUUUAUAGAUAUAGAUAGAUUAGAACCGAGGAGAAAUGCUUUUCAGUCGUGAAAGAUCAAACUUUCAUACAAAAUGGAUGACCUGCCCAUGAAUGAAACAUUUGCUCAAACAUUAUUAAUCAUUUCGUUCUAUUACAGGUGAGAACAGAAUUAGACGCAGCACAAAUAUCAAAAGCUGCAGAUGCAGCAGAAGCUGCUGAAGCUCCAGAAGCGGCAAACGCAUUAGCAGCAGCAGCAGCAGCAGCAGUAGCAAAAGCAGCAGAAGCUAUAGCAGCAGCAGCAGCAGCAGCAGUAGCAAAAGCAGCAGAAGCAGCAGCAAAAGCAUCAGCAGUGUUGUGGGCAGCCGUGCCGACCCCUGGACUUGCCGUGGCAGUUGCGCUGCCACCGGUCAACGUCCAGGAGGACGACAGUGUGUCACACACACUGUCGCACACACUAAGCAGCGCAAGGCUUAGUGUGUGCCGAGCGCACAGUUAGAGUGUGUUAGUGAGCCGAUCGAGCAGGAGCUCUCGGCAGGGGCGCUCGGUGCGGCUGGUGCGCGGCCACCGCACUUGUUAUUUUAAAGUGUGUUGUAUCAGUUAUGUAUCGUGUUUUAUUAUUUAUUUUAUAUGUUGUUAAUACGUGUAAUAAAGUAGUGCAAGGUCCAAACACAACACUAAUUUUCGUGUAAUUUUGCAAGUAGGGGGUGGUUUUAGUCACUUUAUGAAUUAUUUGAUAUGAUUCUGACUAAAUAUAACAGUUUCAAAGCUUUUGGAAUAGUUUUUAACAUUCGAUCAAAACGGACAUUAUUUGGCAACUUACAAUUGAUGUGUCAAAUCAGUACAAUUUGCUCAAAGAAUUGUCAAAUUUAGAAAACCGCGUAUCUUCGAAUCCGCGUAUAAGAGUUACCGUGCAUCUCGGGGACCGCCUGUACAUUAUCCUUGAUUCCACACUAACACGGCUGCCAAUUCUUUUAAAUGAACCUCGCACGUCGAAAUAUCAUCUGAAUUUUUAUCGGGGUGACUGUAAGUGCCUACCAAAUCACACUCAAGUAAGUGCCUACUUUUUGCACAUCACGAGCACGAGCACACAACACCGCGUUGUUUUGUUUUAAUGUUCUGACUGACAGGUCGAUUGGAGAGAAAGAAUUGCUGCAUUUUCAGCAAUUUGUUUUACUGAUAAUCAGUGAAACGACUAAUUUGACAUUGAUUAUACUGAUUUUCAGAAAAAUAUGUAUUACUGAAAUGCAUUCAGUAAAUUGUUUUUUUCCGAAAAUCAGUACAAACAUAUAAUUUAUGCUGAAAAUCAGUAUAAUAUUCUUUUACUGAACCGUUUUAGUAAAAAACUUUACUGAAGCAAGAUGAGAAAAUUUGCUGUGUAUAUGUAAACAAAUCAAUGAUUUUCCUUUUUUGCAAGCUUUCCUCCAAACAGAAUGACCCAUUCUAUAAUAAUAGAAGAAAGAUUGCCGAAGCAUGGAGGGAAAUAGCCAGGCAUCUGGCGACCACCGUGGCCAGAUGCCAGAAAGUUUGGCACCAGCUCCGGUACAAGUACCGUGCGAUCAGGGUACGUGAGCUGGCAGCGGUCAAAAGAAAUGGAUGCAAAUCCCGUUGCGCCUCCUAAGUGGCACUGUUACAGGCCAAUGAGUUUUCUGUGGGAAUAUGUAGAUGUGUCGCUGAGAGCGAAUGGUGUAGUAUGAAGAUAGAACGUUCAUAAACAAAUGUGAUGGGGCCUCCAAUUGCCUCUUCUACGCGGCGACCCACAGCAGAAUAGGAGAGCGCCGCAGCGGAGAGAAGGCAAGAGAUUGCAUUUGGAGGCGCCCAUUUUGAACGAAUCUGCUGAUGCCGAGUGAGGGUAAGGAAUGCACAUAUUUGAUACAGGGUUUUUCAAUUAAGUUUAGACUAGCGGCAUACUUUUUUUUUGAAUCGUCGCAAUAGGUCUCACUAUAGAGCAGGGGUCUCCAAACUACGGCUCGCGGGCCGCAUGCGGCUCUCAAGAGCUUAUAAUGCGGCCCACGAUGACUUUGCCAGAGUUCAUAAAAAUAUUACGUUAUUAUGAAUUUUUAAAAUUAACAUUUAUGUUUUACUUUUCUUAGACAAAAAUCAAGCUUUAGUAACACGAAACUGUACAAGUAUCGUUGGUAUUUUAUUAUAAAAACGAGAUUUAAACGUUCACUCAUCAGUUAAAGGUAGCGUCAAAUGGCCCUCAACAUAGUUAUUUUUGAAGCAAUGCGGCCCGCGAGCUGAAAAGUUUGGAGGUUCCUGCUAUAGAGCGUUACUUUUUCAUUCUAUAGUGAGACGAUGUUGGCGAAUGAGUUGUUGUUAGGAAUGGAUAACUUGGAUAAUGUUUGUACCUUUGGUCCUGUACAAAGUGUAUGAGAACCAGGUGGUUUCAAAGGCUGUUUUUUAUGACAAAAUUUUAACGUCAUUUUUUGACAGAAUGGGUGAAAACUUUUCCUCCAACAAGCUUUCUGGCGACUUGCAGAAUAUACAAACAAUGGGAGCCUUCACGAUUCUAGUUAGUUUUUUGUAUGGAGUUUGACAGUUGGAGGCUGAAAUCAUGUAAACAAUCCAUACAAAACCACACAAAAAACUAGCCUGCGAUUUUCAGUCUAGAAAAUUUUAGCCUAAAAGCUAGAAUUAGAUUCGAGUACCUGCUCGAAAACACGGGUUUGUUUACAUUUAUC